rnacentral:rRNA from 1 species
CUGGUUGAUCCUGCCGGACCCGACUGCUAUCGGAGUGAGACUAAGCCAUGCGAGUCGUGCGCUCCGGGCUGGCGGAGCGCGGCGUACGGCUCAGUAACACGUGGUCAACCUACCCUGCGGACGGCUAUAACCCCGGGAAACUGGGGCUAAUAGCCGAUAGGGGAUAGGUGCUGGAAGGCCCUGUCCUCGAAAGGCCUAACCACCCAUGCCGUGGUUAGGCGCCGCAGGAUGGGACUGCGCCCUAUCAGGUAGACGGUGGGGUAACGGCCCACCGUGCCUGUAACGGGUGCGGGCCCUGGGAGGGGGAGCCCGGAGAUGGGCACUGAGACAAGGGCCCAGGCCCUACGGGGCGCAGCAGGCGCGAAAACUCCGCUAUGCGCGAAAGCGCGACGGGGUCACUCCGAGUGCCGCCCGCUGAGGGCGGCUUUUGCCCAGUCCAAAAGGCUGGGCGAAUAAGGGGAGGGCAAGUUUGGUGUCAGCCGCCGCGGUAAUACCAACUCCCCGAGUGGUCGGGACGAUUAUUGGGCUUAAAGCGUCCGUAGCCGGCCCGGUGUGUCUCUGGUCAAAUCCGGCGUCUCAAGCGCCGGACCGCCGGAGAUACUACUGGGCUAGGGAGCGGGAGAGGCGGGCGGUAUUCCCUGGGUAGGGGUAAAAUCCUAAGAUCCAGGGAGGACCAUCGGUGGCGAAGGCGGCCCGCUAGAACGCGUCCGACGGUGAGGGACGAAAGCUGGGGGAGCGAUCCGGAUUAGAUACCCGGGUAGUCCCAGCCGUAAACGAUGCAGGCUAGGUGUGUGGACGCCUUAGGGGCGUCCAUGUGCCGAAGGGAAACCGUUAAGCCUGCCGCCUGGGGAGUACGGCCGCAAGGCUGAAACCCUAGGAGGCCCUUAACUGAUAUAAUGAGGAAGGGCUCUCCUAGGGCAGCACACUUAAAGGAAUUGGCGGGGGAGCACCACAAGGGGUGGAGCCUGCGGUUCAAUUGGAGUCAACGCCGG